rnacentral:rRNA from 1 species
CCAAUAGCGUAUAUUAAAGUUGUUGCAGUUAAAAAGCUCGUAGUUGAAUUUCGGGGUUCUACCGUUGGUCGGGCUAACCAGUCUGUACUAGCGUGUAGAAUUCCUACCUUCUGGGGAACCAUCAUGUUAUUAAUUUAGCGUGGUGGGAAACCAGGACCUUUACCUUGAAAAAAUUAGAGUGUUCAAAGCAGGCUUAUGUCUGAAUACAUUAGCAUGGAAUAAUAGAAUAGGACGGUGGUCCUGUUUUGUUGGUUUCUGAAUCACCGUAAUGAUUAAUAGGGAUAGUUGGGGGCAUUAGUAUUCAAUUGUCAGAGGUGAAAUUCUUGGAUUUAUUGAAGACUAACUUCUGCGAAAGCAUUUGCCAAGGAUGUUUUCAUUAAUCAAGAACGAAAGUUAGGGGAUCGAAGACGAUCAGAUACCGUCGUAGUCUUAACCAUAAACUAUGCCGACUAGGGAUCGGACGAUGUUAAAUUUUAUUGACUCGUUCGGCGCCUUACG